rnacentral:rRNA from 1 species
AGGACAAACGCUGGCGGCGUGCCUAAAACAUGCAAGUCGAACGGACCCUUCGGGGUCAGUGGCGGACGGCUGAGUAACGCGUGGGUAACCUACCCGUGAGUGGGGAAUAACUAUCCGAAAGGGUGGCUAAUACCGCAUACGAUCGUUGAUCUGCGGAUUGAUGAGGAAAGCGCAAGCGCUCGCGGAGGGGCCCGCGUCCGAUUAGCUAGUUGGUGGGGUAAUGGCUUACCAAGGCGUCGAUCGGUAGCUGGUCUGAGAGGAUGAUCAGCCAGACUGGGACUGUGACACGGCCCAGACUCCUACGGGAGGCAGCAGUUAGGAAUCUUGGGCAAUGGGCGAAAGCCUGACCCAGCAACGCCGCGUGGGUGACGAAGGCCUUCGGGUCGUAAAGCCCUUUUCCACGGGAAGAUAAUGACGGUACCGUGGGAAUAAGCCCCGGCUAACUACGUGCCAGCAGCCGC